rnacentral:rRNA from 1 species
AGUGAACGCUGGCGGUAGGCUUAACACAUGCAAGUCGAACGGCAGCACAGUAAGAGCUUGCUCUUACGGGUGGCGAGUGGCGGACGGGUGAGGAAUACAUCGGAAUCUACUUUUUCGUGGGGGAUAACGUAGGGAAACUUACGCUAAUAUCGCAUACGACCUACGGGUGAAAGCAGGGGAUCGUCGGACCUUGCGCGAUUGAAUGAGCCGAUGUCGGAUUAGCUUGUUGGCGGGGUAAAGGGCCACCAAGGCGACGAUACGUAGCUCGUCUGAGAGGAUGGUCGCCCGCCUUGGAAGUGGGACAGCGUCCAUGCUACUACGGGAGGCCGCAGUGGGGAAUGUUAGACAGUAGGCGGGAGUCUGGUCCAGCCAGCCCGCGUCGGUGAAGAAGGCCUUCGGGUUGUAAAGCCCUUUUGUUGGGAAAGAAAAGCAGCAGGUUAAUACCCCGCUGUUGUGACGGUACCCAAAGAAUAAGCACCGGCUAACUUCGUG